GGAGACGUGGGUGAGUGGUUGAAACCGGCUCCGUGCUAAGGAGUUAGGGGGAUUAAACCCCCUCGGAGGUUCGAAUCCUCCCGUCUCCGCCA
rnacentral:tRNA from 1 species